rnacentral:rRNA from 1 species
CUUAAUGAGAGUUUGAUCCUAGCUCAGGAUGAAUGCUGGCUGUAUGGAUAAGGCAUGCAAGUCGAAC